CAUAAACCAUGAACAUAAAUUUACUAUAUUAUCAGUGAGAGUAGUAACACUAGCUAAACAAACAAACAAUUAACAAAGAGUCUAAGAGAAUGAACAUAAAUUGACAUGAUCAUACCAGCCUUAAGAAAAACAAAAACAGAAGAAGAUCAGGAUGGGAGAUAUAGUUAUCAAUUGAGUAGUGAUAGUAUAGGGAGGGAGAUGGAAUAGAACACCGUUUGAAAAUAAGAGUUUAAAGGAAACAGUAAUGCAGGUAUUCUUGAGUUGAUCUUCCAGAGAUAAUACCUCUGCUCUGAAGAUUCAGCAGGACUUGGUUGCUUGGGAGUGCUGGGUGUUAACCCCUUAAGGACGCAUGACGGUUCAGGACCGUCCUCUGCAUUUUUGCGUUGCCGACCGAGGACGGUCCUGAACCGUCCUAACGGAAAACGGGCUGCGGGAGCGAUCAGAGAUCGCUUCCGCUGAAAUCCCGUUGUUACUAUCUGCCCGGCAUCCCAGGCAGAUAGUAACAGCCAAUUUCGGCGUGUGAGCGAUCCGCGAUCACUCACAAUUGGCUGGUGUCAAAGUGGGUGUUACACUCACUUUGACACUGAUCUCUGCCUCUCUCCUCUCUGUAGCGUUUUGUGAGAGGAGAGAGACAGAGAUCCUGAUAGUUUGUUGCAGCAGCUGUUCCUGUG